GAUGAACGCUGGCGGCGUGCCUAAUACAUGCAAGUCGAGCGAAUGGAUUAAGAGCUUGCUCUUAUGAAGUUAGCGGCGGACGGGUGAGUAACACGUUGGUAACCUGCCCAUAAGACUGGGAUAACUCCGGGAAACCGGGGCUAAUACCGGAUAACAAUUUGAACCGCAUGGUUCGAAAUUGAAAGGCAGCUUCGGCUGUCACUUAUGGAUGGACUCGCGUCGCAUUAGCUAGUUGGUUAGGUAACGGCUCACCAAGGCAACGAUGCGUAGCCGACCUGAGAGGGUGAUCGGCCACACUGGGACUGAGACACGGCCCAGGCUCCUACGGGAGGCAGCAGUAGGGAAUCUUCCGCAAUGGACGAAAGUCUGACGGAGCAACGCCGCGUGAGUGAUGAAGGCUUUCGGGUCGUAAAACUCUGUUGUUAGGGAAGAACAAGUGCUAGUUGAAUAAGCUGGCACCUUGACGGUACCUAACCAGAAAGCCACGGCUAACUACGUGCCAGCCGCCGCCGUAA
rnacentral:rRNA from 1 species